UUGGCUGCUAGGCAAUGUGGUGUUCAGGUCGUCUUUUGGCAUUACUGCUCCAUCCUAAGUCCAGCACUGAGUAUGGCAUCUGGAAUGGCCCAAGGAGGGUGAAAGGCCCGUGGGGGUGGAGAUCAAGUCGGACGGUAUUGCCCUUAGUCGACCCUGGAGUCGGGUUGUUUGUGAAUGCAGCCCAAAGCGGGUGGUAAACUCCAUCCAAGGCUAAAUACAAGCACGAGUCCGAUAGCGAACAAGUACCGUGAGGGAAAGUUGAAAAGUACUUUGAAGAGAGAGUAAACAGUGCGUGAAACCGCUCAGAGGUAAACGGGUGGAGUUGAACUGUAAGCUCCGGGAAUUCAGCUGGUGAGUGUGUCAUGGGCUUGGUCAUUUUCGGCCGGCCUCUGGAGUCCGCUUAGCUGCGGGUCCUUGCUUCUUCGGGAGUAGGGAUGUGCGUUGCGCUUGUCAAGUGCUGUGCGCUCUGGAGGUUGCCGGGCUGGCUCGCCGGUGCACUUUCUCGGAGUGGUCACCACGACCGGCGUUGUUGUCUUGCUGCUGUGGUCGAACCGGCUGGGUUUGGUCCUUGUGGCUGAACUUGGUCGGGAUGGCAGGUAGCUCAUUGGUUGGCUUGUCCAGCCUUUGGGUGUAAUCAGCUGUCUGCAGCGGUAUUGUGCAAUGCGUCGGAGACUGCGGCUUUAGAUAUUUGCUUUUGUGCCGUUGGCUGGCAGUGUUGGGUUUGACUGGCGUGUUACUCGCUUCGGUGGGUCCGUUGGUAGCUCAGUGCUGUUCGGUUAGCGGUUGCUUGAGUGAUAUCGUGCAUGGGCCCAUAGUCUGUGGUGUAGCAGCAAACGAUCCACCUGACCCGUCUUGAAACACGGACCAAGGAGUUUAACAUGUGCGCGAGUCAUUGGGCGUUACGAAACCCAAAGGCGCAGUGAAAGUAAAGGUUCGGCUUGU
rnacentral:rRNA from 1 species